GCCCGAAUUGCACGUCCUCGUAGCGCAGCAUCGAGUCCAGGUCGGCGGUGGAGAAGAGACCCUCGUAGUAGCUGCGGUCCUGCCGCCGCACCAGCACCGCCUCCCGCUCCCACAGCCGCCGGUAGAAGUGGUCCGGAGGCAGGGGCGCCAGGAGCCACUCGAAGAGGCGGGCGGCGCGCCUCCGGCUGCUGGGGAUGCCGUUCAGCUCCGUCAGUACCUGCUGCAGCGGCGAAGCCCGGGGUCGCCCCGGCUCAUCCGCGUGCGAGCCCGGCGGCGGCGGAGCGGCCGUCCCCAGGUUCCGGGAGAGCGCAGCCCAUCCCUCCACGCGGCUCGGCAGCGUCGCCGAAGCCGACCUCGGGCGCGCUGACACCGGCCGCGGCUCCGCCGACCGCGAGGCCUCCAGCAGCUCUGCCGGCCUCUUCCGCUUGCCCCGAACCGAGGCCACCGCCACUUUCGAGUCCGAGUCCUCGCUCCGGAGCGCGCGAGCUCUCAGCGCGGCCACGCGGGACGCCGCCGCACUUUUCCGGUGCCUUCGGAUCUUCCGGGGCCGCAAGGGCAGGGCCAAGACCGACGCGCCGCGGGGCUGCGACUGCGGGUGCCGCCGGCGCCUCCCCCGCCCGCGCUUCAGCAGCGCCGCACCGUUGCCAUUCGGUAGCUCGUCCAUAG
rnacentral:lncRNA from 1 species